ACAUUUCUUUUAGGUUAUAUUAAAGGUAAUUUCUGCCCAAUGAUUAGUUUUAAAUGGCUGCAGUAUUUUGACUGUACAAAGGUAGCAUAAUAAUUAGUCUUUUAAUUGGGGACUAGAAUGAAGGAAAAAAUGAAAAAUUUAUUUUAUUUAAUUAAUUAUUAAAAUUUAAUUUUUAAGUCAAAAAGCUUAAUUUUUUUAUAGGGACGAUAAGACCCUAUAGAACUUUACAAUUUAAAAAUUAAGCUUUAGUUUAUUAUUUAAUUUUAAUUUGUUUUAUUGGGGUGAUAAAUAAAUUUAAGCUACUUUAUUUUAUAAUUUCAUUAAUUAGUGUUUUUAUGUUCCAUUUCUAUAUGAUUAUAAGUUUAAGUUACCUUAGGGAUAACAGCGUAAUUUUAAUGGGGAGUUCAUAUCUAUAUUAAAGUUUGCGACCUCGAUGUUGAAUUAAGAAAAGAUUAAGGGGUAGGUUCUUUAUAUUCUAAGUCUGUUCGACUUUUAAAUUCUUACAUGAUCUG
rnacentral:rRNA from 1 species